rnacentral:tRNA from 1 species
GGUGGGGUGGCAGAGUGGUCUAAUGCACCGGUUUUGAAAACCGGCAGGGUGUAACAGCCCUCGUGGGUUCGAAUCCCACCGCCAUUG